AUUUAGUUUGAGACAAUCCAACGUCAAAGGUUGUCGUGUGAUCCAUUAAAAUCGUACGAAUAAAAUAUAAAAAAGUAACAUUAACAAGAAAUAAAAUCAAAAUCGAAUCAAAAAGCAGAAAAAAAAUUAACUAUAAUUUAAAACCACAAAGUUGGCCUACAUUUGGAUCAAUCGUGAUCAGCUUUACUUUCCUAUAAUGUUGUUCAUAUACCCAAACUCGAAGGAGUUUCACAUUAAGAAGAGCAGCAGACGCGGAAUAAUUCGUUCGAACCCCAUGAAAUUCAUUUUACAAAUGCAUUUCUUGCAGUUCGAAAAUCUUUCUCCGCCAGGUGUUGAUUUUUGAAAUGUGAAGCUCAUUCGAUUUUGAAUAUAUAAGCAACAUUCCUUGAUAUGUAAGAGCAACGAAGUGCGUCGAAGAAGCUGGAUUUAUUCUAUUGAUUCCAUAAAUCCUGAAAUACGGGUUUAUUAAUCAGGACGUUCAAAUCACAUGACAGAUAUACAUUCAAUACAUCUAAAAAGUGGCUUGCUUGCCAUGCAACAGUCUUAUAUGGAGAAGAUCCGGAACUUGCGGUCUUAUGGUGGUCCCUACACAAACUCGAAGAACUUGAAACCUUAAUAUAAGAAGCAGAGAACACACCGGGUUUGAUUUCUAAGAAGUUGCGCCUAGCCGACUUUGAUUAUACGCUGUGAACGGAAUGAACACAGCCGAAAACCAGGAAAAAUAAAUCGGCAUCAUCUCAGAAAAAUAAUCAACAAAAUCCCGAAAUUCUAAACGUCCAAUUAUCAAAUUCCUUGAAAGUAUAUGCAUACCAGGCUUUCAAUUAAUAAAGUAUAAUUUUAAAAAGCAA
rnacentral:sRNA from 1 species